rnacentral:rRNA from 1 species
CCUACGGGUGGCAGCAGUGAGGAAUAUUGGUCAAUGGGCGGGAGCCUGAACCAGCCAAGUAGCGUGAAGGAUGACAGUCCUAUGGGUUUUAAACUUCUUUUAUAAGGGAAUAAAGUGCCCCACGUGUGGGGUUUUGUAUGUACCUUAUGAAUAAGCAUCGGCUAAUUCCGUGCCAGCAGCCGCGGUAAUACGGAAGAUCCGGGCGUUAUCCGGAUUUAGUGGGGUUAACGGGUGGGUAGGCGGUUCCUAAAGUCGGUGGUAAAAUCUAGCGCCUAAACCGUACCGUGCAGUUGAAACUGUGGUUCUUGAGUAUGCGGAAGGUAGGUGGAAUUCGUGGUGUAGCGGUGAAAUGCUUAGAGAUCACGAAGAACGCCGAUUGCGAAGGCAUUGUGCUGGAGCAAAACUGACGCUGAGGCUCGAAAGCGUGGGUAUCAAACAGGAUUAGAUACCCGUGUAGUC